GUCUCCCACACCAAGCAGUCGUCCGUCUCCUCCGUCUCCAACACAAUCCGCCGCCGCUUUCUCCUCCCAUCCCCGUCUCACAUCCCGUCGCUUCCGCCGUCGGCCGAUUGAGUGUUUCCCGAAUUCUUCGUCCGCCGUCCCUCCCCCCACUCAGGCACGCGUACACCCAUCUUCCUCGCUCGCCUGGUUCCGUGGUUCGUGUACGAUUCAGAGCGGAGUAGGGGAUCAAUUGAUGUCAGGUUCGGCUUCCAUCCAAAACCGGCCACCGGCCAGUCCACCGAGGGGAGAGCCCAGAUUGUCCACGCGAAACCCUAGACCCCGCGCGCGUACCAUCUCCGCCGCCUCGCCCAGUUCUUGCUCGCCUCAGCUCGCGGGGAUGGAGCAGGACGCGCCGCCCGUCCCCUCGCACCAGGCCCAGGACGGCGGCGCCGUGGACGGCUGGGCGCAGAACGAUAGCGAGGCCCCUCCCGUACGGCGCUCAGGCGGAGUGCCCCGAGGUCGUAGAUCCUCCUCCUUGCCGGCGCUUCCGCGGCCACGUCUCCACUGCCGCCUCCGCGUGUGCGACCCUCAACGACGACUCGGUGGGGAGGAGCCCUGCGACGACCUCGACGACGCCUGCUCCCCCGACCACAACCACUGCGUCCAAGAAAGUCACAUGGAUUGGGGAUAUGUACCUCGGUUUAGGUUUAAAGGGGCAAUCUUUGAGCAUUUGUAUAUCAACUAUCGAGGAUCUCAAGUUGACAUGGACCGCACUAUGAUCAAGUGCAUUCUGGUGCUAUGAUGAUUGUGACAAAAGAUGUUAGCUGCAGAAGCAAUCACUAUGUCUCAGCUCCAAUAAUAAAAAUCAGUGCACCUGAAUUACAACACAAUUUUUGUCAUCUGGAACUGCACUUAUAAGGUGUUUGGUCUGAAAGCUACACUCCUGAAUACAAUGUGAUAUAAAAGGUUCAUGAAAUCAUCAGUGUUGGAGGUGUUAGUGCAAGAUUGUAGAGUUGGAAAGUAUAGUAAAACGUCAAUUGGUGCAGGGACUUGGUGAAGCCAUCAGCCUCGACUGUGUCUGCUUCCCUGAUGGUUUUGACUUCUGACUAGUGAUUCUGAUGCAUAUUACUUGAUGAUUUGGUCUUUGUGGCAGCUUUCAGUUUGAACUGGCAUUCAGUGGCUUCAUCCUCUUUGGUGCAGCCUGGAGUUAGUAGUGUGCACAUCUGAAUCUCUUGACUUUUUCCUGAAGCAUAUUACGUGGUUUAUGGUGUCUGCUAACUUGCAUGCGAUUUUGAUGGAAUCUGAUCUUGUUUUUUUGCUCCCAGUAUAUACAAAAGGCUAGAAGUAAAUGAUGGAAGAUCCUUUGGUCUCAAACGAGGGUCCUACUUUCAUACCCAAAGUUUGUAUAGUAGAUAAUCAAAUAUUGGCCUUUAGCUUGCAAAUGUAUCACCUUAUAGAAGUAAAGGUUGCAUCUACAUGAGCUCUGAUUAUCUCCAUAUAUACUUGAAUUACUUUGGGGUCACGCUUGGAUUUGUCAGACUACCAUUCUACAUGCUGUUCUCGAUGAUUACACUUGAUUUGUUAAUUUAUGUACCUUAUGUCAAAAAACAUUAUCCAAAAUUUGUUUUUGGUAUACGCAGACUUUGAAAUUUGUUGAUAAAGAAAGAUCACGCCUAAUUUGCUGGCUCUCUGUUGACACUUAACAGUACUGGGCUCCUGACUUUGUAGUUGGAUAAUGUUGAUGACUCGGUAUGCGGAGAGAGGUUAGGAAUUGUUGCUAUGGACUAAAACAAUGCAGAGUUGAAGGUUCUGAACUGGGAACUUGAACAAACAGUUUGCCUACCUUUCUUGUCGAAUUGAUUUUUUAGAAACAGUUUGUAUAGUAGAUAAUCAAAGGGAUGCAGUGCAUUUACUUUCUGUGUCAGGCUGUUGUUCACUGGAAAAGGGGAAAUGCAGAAAUACGGCCGACGGGUAUCUUGUACGGUGGGCCAGGUUUGUGGUGGAGGAGCACCUCCUUUAACGAUUCAAAACAGGGCCGUGGCUCAUGCCGUCAUUCCCGUCCUGAUCCGUGGCUCGUUUAGACCUCAGUACCCGAGUAAAUGGAGGGAUGGGUUGCUGGGCAGAGUUCUCUCCUACCUCCGGCUCCUGGUUUUUUCUAUUAUCGAGUGAGGCUAGAUGGGCGGCGGAGCUUCUAUUCGAAGGAAACAAAGGCUAGCGCAGAAGAUGGAAUUUCUGAUGCAAUCGAUUAAAAGAACCACCGUGCUGGAGGACGUUAACGAUGGCAACGUACUCAUGGAGCCACUACACUGCCAGUGGUCGCAACCGUUGCAGACCCGCUGCCGCCCAUGGCGGCAGUGAGUGCGGAAGGCCAGAUCUGUGCGGCUGAUGGCAUGGUCGAUACUGAAAUCGAUGGUUUACUGCAAGCAUCCGAGCAGUCGAUUACUCGAUUUGUUAGAUGGACCCAAAAGCCCCAGCAUGGACUCGGAAGUGAGGAUCGGUGCGGCCGCUGCCGCACCGGGAAGGUCACCUUGUCCUAAUCGCACUAGUGCACUGGAGAAGGCAAUUCAUGGUUUUGCGGAAAAUCCAGGAGAUGAUGUGAUCGUCCCUGCACUAGGAACUAGCUUUGAUUGUUUGAGUGAAGCCUUCGACUAUUGCCAUUGGACUUCGAUUCUUUUGGGUGAAGCAUACGACUUUUACAAGCUUCGAUUCUUUGACAAAUCUAUAUUUUAGUAAUCCUCCUUGUUUUCUGAAACUGAUGUAUAGUGGUAUGUACAUUGAAAUGGAUUUCUAAAGUGACAGUAAAUUAGACAACUAUUUUACGAUGUGUAGCCAAAAGCCAAAAGGAUAAUUGCACUAUUAUUAGGAUCAAAUAUGAUUUCAGUCUCGAGAAAAUCUGCCUUUUCUUCUUC